AAAUUAAGCUAUAAAUACCCUCCGAUUGCUUAACCAAACCGCCCUAGAUUAGCGGCGGUUU
rnacentral:ncRNA from 1 species